rnacentral:rRNA from 1 species
GCUUAGAGAGGGGUCAAUGUCCUAUCAGCUAGUUGGUAGGGUAAUGGCCUACCAAGGCUAAGACGGGUAGCCGGCCUGAGAGGGUGGUCGGCCACACUGGGACUGAGACACUGCCCAGACCCCUACGGGAGACUGCAGUCGAGAAUCUUUCGCAAUGCCCGAAAGGGUGACGAAGCGACGCCGCGUGUGGGAAGAAGGCCUUCGGGUUGUAAACCACUGUCGGGAGUUAAGAAAUGCAAGGGUGUUAAUAGCAUCCUUGCUUGACUAAGGCUCCGGAGGAAGCCACGGCUAACUCUGUGCCAGCAGCCGCGGUAAUACAGAGGCGGCAAGCGUUGUUCGGAAUUAUUGGGCGUAAAGAGCACGUAGGCGGCUUUGUAAGUCAGUUGUGAAAGCCUUCUGCUCAACGGAAGAACAGCAUCUGAUACUGCAAGGCUAGAGUGUGGAAGGG